AGUAGAAGGAUAACAUGACAUAGCAGGAAUAAUACUGCCUUUUCUUUCUGGCAUGGAUCAAGAGAAAAGAAAAUACAAGAAAACAGACAGAAGCAAGGCAAGGUACUUCUAUGGAAGGGUGAGCCCUCACAGAUGGAGCAAUGGGGCGCGCACACCUGAACAAGGGAGGGGAAGGAGUUCUUAUCCCUGAUGCAUGUGACCCCUGCUGCUGUGUCCUUCCCCUAUUGGCUAAGGCUUCUGACAGCUUUGGAGAUUGUGACAUUGGAAUAAAGGAAAAACGUACAGGACUCAUGAAGCGCUGAAAUGUUCACAAAUAUCAAGCAAAAGUCAAUGAAAUUUAUUUUGAGCUAUUUACAUCAUUUAAUAAUUGAGCAAGGUAUACUCCUAUGAACAAAAUUUGGAGCAUGUUUGUCUCUCUCUGCCUGGCGUCUUCAGAAUUUGGAAACUAGUUAGUCAUGGAAAUUUAUUUUGAGCUAUUUACAGCAUUUAAUAAUUGAGCAAGGUAUACUCCUAUGAACAAAAUUUGGAGCAUGUUUGUCUCUCUCUGUCUGCCUGGCAUCUACAGAAUUUGGAAACUAGUUUCGUUCCCAGAUUUCCUAAACUUUCCAGAGAAAAUGGUCUUCUCCCUGGCUCAGCAAGAAGAUGAACUUUAAACACUGAGAAACUGGUCAUCUCCCUGGCUCAACCAGAAGAUGAACUUUAAACACUACUCUCAAUGACUUGAUGUUCCCAUCACUACUCCUGUCAUAAAGGGAGGGGACUCAGAUAUUGAGAAUUUUAUGAUAGUGUGAACUGUCUGGUAUGUCAUUUAAGUAAGCCCGUUGCUGAAAUAUUUUCCAUGUUAUUAGAAAGAGCUGAAGAGAGGGAUUGAGAUGGCUUCUUUAUUUUUUGUCUUUUGGGAAUUAAAGGAACCUGGUUCAACAAGGGCCUACACCUAAGUCUCUUGUUGUACCAGAGUACAAUUUAGGACUGCUCCUGAGGAAGGAAUUAGCUAGAAAUCUAGAGAGUAAGGGUAACAGAUUUACAUAGAAUAACAGCCUCAGUAUUUUUGGUUCCUCUCCAGUAAAGAUCACAAAGAAUAUUGCUAAAUCGCUAAAACACCUUUGCAAUAACGUAAGGGCUUACAACUAUAUACCAAUGUAGCUCAGUUACUAAACUGGAGUAAACUAAUUUCUCUUGUGUAGAAAAAUUGGUUGGCUGUGGUUUUAUAGCAGAUCUGCAAUUAUUAAUAGUUAUGCCAAUAAUCGUUUAACAGUGCAUAUGUUAAUAUAUAUGGAAAGACAAUGUGUAUAGACAGAUGUGUAAAAUUGAAAAAUAAACAUAUAACAAGAGAGAAACAUCUAUCGAACAGACAAUAUACAUACACAUCAAACACAACAGCAGUUUUAGUGACCAUAAUAUUUAUUUCUCAUUUUUACAUUGCUUACUUUAGUGACAACUGAAAAUGAC
rnacentral:lncRNA from 1 species